ensembl:lncRNA
GGGUCCAGGCUGACCCCAGAGGCUCAGGCCUUUCUACUAGGAUAGGUAGAGAAACUUACAUGGCUAAUCUUUCUUACCUUUCUCCAGGCAGCAGGAGGGCAUUUGAGGUCUGCAGUUAGGUCAGGGUGGUUAGGUCCACUCUUCCUCAGACACUGAGCCUGGUCUGGUGUCAAGGAAGUGGCAUUCGGACACGAAUCAUGAGGCAAAGGGAGGAAAGAGUGUCUUCAGGUAUGCAUGGACUGUUAACUAUGUUCCAGAUAGUUCGCCCUGAAGAAACAACAGGAACACAAUCCCUGCCCUGUUUCCUGAGAUACCCUGUGGCUCUCUAGGGUUGUUGCUCCCCAGAUCUCUAGAGAUGGCCCAUUUCCUAUGUCACCCAAUUCUGAAUGAAAACUGCUGCUACUGAGCUCUGAGACCCACCUGGAGGACUCCCCCUGCCCUGAUGACUCCUCUGCUGCUGCUAAGUCGCUUCAGUCGUGUCCGACUCUGUGCGACCCCAUAGAUGGCAGCCCACCAGGCUCCCCCAUCCCUGGGAUUCUCCAGGCAAGAACACUGGAGUGGGUUGCCAUUUCCUUCUCCAAUGCGUGAAAGUGAAAAGUGAAAGUGAAGUCGCUCAGUCGUGUCUGACUCUUAGCAACCCCAUGGACUGUAGCCCGCCAGGCUCCUCCAUCCAUGGGCUUCUCCAGGCAAGAGUACUGGAGUAGGGUGCCAUUGCUUUCUCCAGAUGACUCCUCUAGCACUUGUAAAAAUGAUACUCCACCUCUGAGAGCUCUUCCAGGUUUUGCUAUUAUGGGAUUUUAAAAAA